rnacentral:tmRNA from 1 species
GGGGGUGCCUGGAUUUGACAGGACAAUUUAAGUGUAACGCAACAGGUAGCAGGAUGGUGGUAUACUGCUUAAUAAUUUACAUCAAACAACAAAAGGCGAUAUAAUCGUACGCCAGAUUGAAGCUAAAGUAGUUUCAAUGGCAAAAAGCAGAGUAGGUUCAAGUGUCAGCUUAGCCGCUUAAACAGUUUAUCCGAACUUAAAACGGAUUGGUGGAUUGCCUGUAUUCGGACGGCCCUAAGUACUAAGCAACUAUGCUCCAAAUAGUAAACCUGUGUUAAUUGUUUUAUAACUGAUGUUACUGGACGAGGGUUCGACUCCCUCCACCUCCACAA